rfam:Candidate division Zixibacteria bacterium 4484_95 ex4484_95_scaffold_11571, whole genome shotgun sequence.
GCCCCCGUAGCUCAGUUAGGAUAGAGCAUCGGUUUCCUAAACCGGGUGUCGCCCGUUCAAGUCGGGCCGGGGGUA